rnacentral:lncRNA from 1 species
CAGCUGGCCUCUAGCUGGGAGAGGACUGCUAGAAUCCCACAGGGUAGUGUCAGAGAAUGAGGGGACUCGGUUGUUUUCAAUCAUUAAUAUACCUGUGUCCCAGCAGGCUUUGAUGGUGUCUUAAGGAGAUGGGGAAGUUGGCCUGUUUGUACCUCAUUCUGGAUCCAAGAGACUCACCCAACUUCACCCAGGCGUUUGAGCAUGAAAUCAGAGCUACUUAGAAACAUGUGCAGCCCUUAAGGGACCAUCUCUGUUACUGUGCCUUAGAACUCUGAGCAUCCUUCCUUCUGCUUCAACACUGCUAGACAUCCAACCGGCACUGGGAUCUAUGGAAAAGCCAUGCUCUCGGGGCUCUUCACGUGAUUGAGAAGUGGAAGAGGACAUGGAGAAGAACAAAGCUGGGCAGUGAGGAAGCAGUUCACACUCGGGGAGUGGACUGUAAACACUACAGAGAUUGGAGGAGGCAGAAGGUCAGGGAUGCCACUCUUCAAGGUCAGACUCCUAGAUGCUGCAGAACUGGACUAAAUGGAAGGGCAACAGGACCAGGACGUUACUACAAAGGAGAAGUUUGGAAUGCUUAGAGGGAGGCGUGGCACUGGGUGUGGAGGAAGUGGGGAGGCCACCUUGAAACAGAGGCAGCUAUUUUGACAGACAAACCCUGGGGCCCCCGUGAGAACAUUCUGUGAGAAGAAAUGCCAUAGGUACAGAGAGCUGGCCACUGUGGAGAGGGACACUGCGGGCAGGGCAUUGGGAAGCUCAUUUUGCCAAGGGAGGGACUGUAGGCUGGAAAAAUGAUGUGAAGUGGUCUCUUACUUAAGGUGGAAGAUGACAGUGUUUGUGCAACCAAUGUGCUGCACAGUGAACAACAGAAGGGGUGAUAGCAAAGACUCCUGGGAAACUGCCUAAUACCUCCAUGCCUUGUGGGUACCAAUGACUAGGACAGAGCUCUCUCGGGCAAGGAUGGCUGGUGCUGGACUACAGAAGUCCUACUGGGAACCCAAGGGCAAUAGCUAAUGAUCUUGGAACUGCUGCCGUUAACAGUUGCGGAGACUCUGGCUAGGAGCCAACGGCAUACACAUGGGUGACUCUAGAUUGUUCGAUUUAUUUGGCAUUUAAUAAACGCUGACUGUAAACUCAGCCUCCUUUUGUACCAAGGAGCCUCUCCUUGUCUGCCUGCAGGCCUUCUCUUAUCAUCCAUUGCUACAAGUUCUCAAGCCUUCACCUCAUGAUAGAGGAACCUCUUGAUGAACAGCUUCUGUGGACCAGGCAACAUACUAUCACUGAGACGCUGGCCACACCCAACCCGGCAGGCUGCUCUCUCCUCUGCACAGGUGCUUUGUGGAAUGCGUCCUUGAAACCAGGUCUCUAGGACAGUCCAUGACUCCGCGUAGGUUCUUACCAGCACAGAGAGCAGAGUCGAUGUAAACGUUUAAGACAGCCAAGUGUUUAAAAUGUGUGUUAUUAGUAUUCUUCAUCAGUAGUGCACUGGGAGUAAGCAUGUGAUCAGCUCGUGUUUUUUUUUUUUUUCCACACAA